UGCUGAGUUCGCCUAUGGCCAAACCGGAGCCAAACCACUGGCCAAACGGCCGAAAAACUCAGCCGAAGUCCAGCGCCGCCGCUGCGACCCUCCUUUGUUUUUUACCUCCGAUGAGACCCUUCCCGGCCUCCGUUUGAUGCAAAUUUUAUACCAUUGUGAUCACCGUUCUUUUCUCUACAGGUUGAUCAGAGCCAAAAAUCAAAACGCGACUCACGCCGAAGGAGCUGCCGCACCCGAGAGCACCGCCACCGGUAAGUUUCAGUUUUUCGUGAUUUUUUGGCCCACCGAGGGUCCUAGGGUUGUUUUAUCGCAGGGAUCGAUGCAAGUUAGAUGAAUUUGGCCAAAAACGGCCAACCCGAGGUAGAUCGCCACCGCAGACGGCGGCACCGUCGCCGGAGCACGGCGGAGCUGCUGUGCCGAAAUUUCAAUAUUGGCCGAAAGGGGCCCUAGGUCU
rnacentral:lncRNA from 1 species